GCCCAGAUAGCUCAGUCAGUAGAUCAUGAGACUCUUAAUCUCAGUGUCGUGGGUUCAAGCCCCAUGUUGGGCU